UUCUCUUUAAACAAAAUGUUUAGAAAAGGUAAGCACAAGAAAAAGUGCCGAAUUUUUUAUAUAAACCAACGAUUUCAUUCAAGAAAUUAUCAUUUCUUCGAAAGAUACAACAUGAACAAGUCAUUGCUUCUUCUCUUGCUCGUCAUCGGACUUCUCGUCCUCACUUCUGAACCAAGUGAUGCGGUCCUCACUUCUCGUCGUCGUAUCCGUCGCCGUCGUCGUCGUUGGGUCUGGAACCAACAAGAAGUUUCAGAUCUUGAAGAAAAGGCAAUCACUGAACAAGAAGACAUGGGUGAAAACUAAUUUCCUGUCCUAGAAUAAGAUCACUUCAAUAAAACAACUCAAAAAAU